rnacentral:piRNA from 1 species
UAGUUAAAAGAUGUAAGAGUUUAUGCUA